rnacentral:lncRNA from 1 species
GGUAUUUUGUCUUCAGCAAUGGGAGAAAAGUAACUAAGACAGACUGUCAGCCUAGAACUCCCAGCCUGGCGCUAGGGCACAGCUGGCCUAGGACCAAUGAGUGCAACCUCCUCCAUGUACCUCGGGAAGGCUGGGGAAGGAGCGGCCACUCUCUGUCUCCUCAGGGAAACAGGAACUAAAAUGAAGACAAGAGAUCAAGGUGUCACCCUGCCGAGUUCCACAGGAACCAUGACAACAACCCUGGAUAGACCCGCACCUGCCUGGGAAACGGAAACUCCUAUUUCUCAACAAAAUCUACCUAAGCUCAAAGGUGAGAUCCACAAAGAGUUUCAAAGAUCAGUGUAGAUUAUUACUGGGAAGAAUCCAAAUGCUUGCAUAGGCCCAAGGAAAACAUUCAAAGGCCAGUGACACGUGAGCAGUGAAGGAACUGAAGACAGAAAGCAAACAAAAUAAAUUCCAAAUCAAACAAGAAUGUCCCAUUUUCCAGAUACCAGAUGAGCAAAAACAUUACAGAUUGCUGCGAUGCAGAGUUGGUGAGGGUGUGGGUGAACAGGUGCUCUCCUGUUGGGGGCAGUAAGGUGAGCCCCAUCUCUUUUGGAGAACAAUACGUAAUAGUUUUGGGUGAAAUGUGGUCCACUGAGAUAU